rnacentral:rRNA from 1 species
GGCUUAGAGUUUGAUCAUGGCUCAGGACGAACGCUGGCGGCGUGCUUAACACAUGCAAGUCGAACGGGGUGUUUAUUUCGGUAAACACCAAGUGGCGAACGGGUGAGUAACGCGUAAGCAAUCUACCUUCAAGAUGGGGACAACACUUCGAAAGGGGUGCUAAUACCGAAUGAAUGAGAGAUGACCGCAUGGAUAUUUCUCUAAAGGAGGCCUCUGAAAAUGCUUCCGCUUGAAGAUGAGCUUGCGUCUGAUUAGCUAGUUGGUGAGGGUAAAGGCCCACCAAGGCGACGAUCAGUAGCCGGUCUGAGAGGAUGAACGGCCACAUUGGGACUGAGACACGGCCCAGACUCCUACGGGAGGCAGCAGUGGGGAAUCUUCCGCAAUGGGCGAAAGCCUGACGGAGCAACGCCGCGUGAACGAAGAAGGUCUUAGGAUCGUAAAGUUCUGUUGUUAGGGGCGAAGGGCAACAUUUUGAAUAAGGGUGUUGUUUGACGGUACUUAACGAGGAAGCCACGGCUAACUACGUGCCAGCAGCCGCGGUAAUACGUAGGCGGCAAGCGUUGUCCGGAAUUAUUGGGCGUAAAGGGAGCGCAGGCGGGAAGUUAAGCGGACUUUAAAAGUGCGGGGCUCAACCCCGUGAGGGGGUCCGAACUGACUUUCUUGAGUGCAGGAGAGGGAAGCGGAAUUCCUAGUGUAGCGGUGAAAUGCGUAGAUAUUAGGAAGAACACCAGUGGCGAAGCGGCUUUCUGGACUGUAACUGACGCUGAGCUCGAAAGCUAGGGUAGCGAACGGGAUUAGAUACUCCGGUAGUCCUAGCCGUAAACGAUGGAUACUAGUGUGGGAGUAUCGACUCCUUCGUGCCGGAGUAAC